rnacentral:rRNA from 1 species
UAAGGAAUAUUGGUCAAUGGACGCAAGUCUGAACCAGCCAUGCCGCGUGAAGGAUGAAGGUCCUCUGGAUUGUAACUUCUUUUAUCUGGGACGAAAACGGGAUUUUUAUCUCAAUUGACGGUACCAGAGGAAUAAGCACCGGCUAACUCCGUGCCAGCAGCCGCGGUAAUACGGAGGGUGCGAGCGUUAUCCGGAUUUACUGGGUUUAAAGGGUGCGUAGGUGGGCUUAUAAGUCAGUGGUGAAAUCUCCGAGCUUAACUUGGAAACUGCCGUUGAUACUAUAGGCCUUGAAUUAUCUGGAGGUAAGCGGAAUAUGUCAUGUAGCGGUGAAAUGCUUAGAUAUGACAUAGAACACCAAUUGCGAAGGCAGCUUACUACAUAUAAAUUGACGCUGAGGCACGAAAGCGUGGGGAUCAAACA